rnacentral:rRNA from 1 species
GUGGAUGCCCUGGCAGUCAGAGGCGAUGAAGGACGUGCUAAUCUGCGAUAAGCGUCGGUAAGGUGAUAUGAACCGUUAUAACCGGCGAUUUCCGAAUGGGGAAACCCAGUGUGUUUCGACACACUAUCAUUAACUGAAUCCAUAGGUUAAUGAGGCGAACCGGGGGAACUGAAACAUCUAAGUACCCCGAGGAAAAGAAAUCAACCGAGAUUCCCCCAGUAGCGGCGAGCGAACGGGGAGGAGCCCAGAGCCUGAAUCAGUGUGUGUGUUAGUGGAAGCGUCUGGAAAGGCGUGCGAUACAGGGUGACAGCCCCGUACACAAAAAUGCACAUACUGUGAGCUCGAUGAGUAGGGCGGGACACGUGGUAUCCUGUCUGAAUAUGGGGGGACCAUCCUCCAAGGCUAAAUACUCCUGACUGACCGAUAGUGAACCAGUACCGUGAGGGAAAGGCGAAA